rnacentral:rRNA from 1 species
CCUACGGGAGGCUGCAGUGGGGAAUAUUGCACAAUGGGGGGAACCCUGAUGCAGCAACGCCGCGUGAGUGAAGAAGUAUCUCGGUAUGUAAAGCUCUAUCAGCAGGGAAGAAAAUGACGGUACCUGAUUAAGAAGCCCCGGCUAAAUACGUGCCAGCAGCCGCGGUAAUACGUAGGGUGCAAGCGUUAUCCGGCUUUACUGGGGGUAAAGGGAGCGCAGGCGGCGGUGCAAGUCCGAUGUGAAAGCCCGGGGCCCAACCCCGGGACUGCUGUUGCAACUGCCGGGCUAGAGUGACGGAGUGGCAGGUGGAAUUCCUAGUGUAGCGGUGAAAUGCGUAGAUAUUAGGAGGAACACCAGUGGCGAAGGCGGCUUGCUGGACGAUCACUGACGCUGAGGCUCGAAAGCGUGGGGAGCAAACAGGAUUAGAUACCCCUGUAGUC